rnacentral:rRNA from 1 species
GUCGAGCGGUAGAGAGAAGCUUGCUUCUCUUGAGAGCGGCGGACGGGUGAGUAAUGCCUAGGAAUCUGCCUGGUAGUGGGGGAUAACGUUCGGAAACGGACGCUAAUACCGCAUACGUCCUACGGGAGAAAGCAGGGGACCUUCGGGCCUUGCGCUAUCAGAUGAGCCUAGGUCGGAUUAGCUAGUUGGUGAGGUAAUGGCUCACCAAGGCGACGAUCCGUAACUGGUCUGAGAGGAUGAUCAGUCACACUGGAACUGAGACACGGUCCAGACUCCUACGGGAGGCAGCAGUGGGGAAUAUUGGACAAUGGGCGAAAGCCUGAUCCAGCCAUGCCGCGUGUGUGAAGAAGGUCUUCGGAUUGUAAAGCACUUUAAGUUGGGAGGAAGGGCAGUUACCUAAUACGUGAUUGUUUUGACGUUACCGACAGAAUAAGCACCGGCUAACUCUGUGCCAGCAGCCGCGGUAAUACAGAGGGUGCAAGCGUUAAUCGGAAUUACUGGGCGUAAAGCGCGCGUAGGUGGUUAGUUAAGUUGGAUGUGAAAUCCCCGGGCUCAACCUGGGAACUGC